rnacentral:rRNA from 1 species
CCGCGUGUGUGAAGAAGGCCUGAGGGUUGUAAAGCACUUUCAAUAGGAAGGAAUACCUAUCGGUUAAUACCCGGUAGACUGACAUUACCUAUACAAGAAGCACCGGCUAACUCCGUGCCAGCAGCCGCGGUAAUACGGAGGGUGCAAGCGUUAAUCGGAAUUACUGGGCGUAAAGCGUGCGUAGGCGGUUAUUUAAGUCACAUGUGAAAGCCCUGGGCUUAACCUGGGAACUGCAUUUGAUACUGGAUGACUAGAGUUGAGUAGAGGAGAGUGGAAUUUCAGGUGUAGCGGUGAAAUGCGUAGAGAUCUGAAGGAACACCAGUGGCGAAGGCGGCUCUCUGGACUCAAACUGACGCUGAGGUACGAAAGCGUGGGUAGCAAACAGGAUUAGAUACCCUGGUAGUCCACGCCGUAAACGAUGUCAACUAACCGUUGGGUUCUUUAAGAACUUAGUGGUGGAGCUAACGUAUUAAGUUGACCGCCUGGGGAGUACGGCCGCAAGGCUAAAACUCAAAUGAAUUGACGGGGGCCCGCACAAGCGGUGGAGCAUGUGAUUUAAUUCGAUGCAACGCGAAGAACCUUACCUACCCUUGACAUGUAGCGAAUCCUUUAGAGAUAGAGGAGUGCCUUCGGGAACGCU